rnacentral:piRNA from 1 species
UGCUAUUUCUCAUGGCCCAAUAACGAGAUGC